UCUCUCCACUCUCCAAGUCACAAGGCCAUUCUCAGCACACACUGACAACAUGCUGUGGACUCUGCUCUCUCUCAUCACUGCUCUAACAUGUGUGAGUGCUGUGACGCUGGUGACACAGAAGCCUCCUGUUGUGUCUGUGAGGAGAGGAGAGACCGCCACCAUGGACUGUAACCUGGGGAACGUGACUGACAGUGCUGCUCGCUGGUACAAACAGAUUCAUGGAGGAGUUCCUCAGUUUAUACUGUAUAACUAUCACAGCCGGAGCUCUCUAGUGUAUGGCUCUGGUUUCUCCUCUCUAAAGUUCACAUCCACUCAUCAGUCACAAUCAGAUUAUCGAUUGAUCAUCAGCACUGUGGAGGAGGGAGACUCAGCAGUUUAUUACUGUUCCUUAAAAAGUGUUAACAAAUCAACAUUCUCUCUUUAUAUACACAUUGAAAUGUCUUUAUAA